GGCGGCGGCGCUCUGCGGGCAGUGCCUCCCCCGGGCGUGGCUCUGCAGGAGAGCCGGGCUGGCCCGUGGCCGGCACUACCGCGCCGCGUUCUGCGCCGAGCUGGAGAAGCCCCUGACCAUCGAGGAGGGGGCCCCCCGCCCCGUCGGGCCCCACGAGGUCAGAGUUGAUGUCCACUUCUGUGGAGUUAACUUUGCUGAUACCUUGGUCUGCCGUGGUCAAUAUCAGGAAAAGCCCCCUCUUCCCUUCACACCUGGUAAUAGCUGUUGCUGGAAGUGAUGAGAAGUGCAAACUGGCCAUGCAGAGAGGUGCACAGGCCAGCAUCAACUACAGUCACGGCAGCCUGAAGGAGGCACCUGGCGUGGGAAGGCAGGAUUGUGGUGGUGGGAUUUGCUGGAGGAAACAUUGCUUCUGUGCCGGCCAACCUUCUGCUUCUGAAGAAUGUCUCUGCCAUGGGGCUGUACUAUAGUCGAUACAAAAAAGAGAACUUUUCUGUCUUCUCUAAGAGCCUGUCUUCAGCCCUUCAGUACUGCCAACAAGGGUGCAUCCAGCCACAUGUCGGAAAGGUUUUUAAGCUGGAGGAGGUAA